rnacentral:rRNA from 1 species
UACGUAGGGGGCAAGCGUUGUCCGGAUUUAUUGGGCGUAAAGCGCUCGCAGGCGGCUCGAUGCGUCGUGCGUGAAACACCCCGGCUCAACUGGGGAGGGUCGUGCGAUACGGUCGGGCUGGAGGCCAGUAGGGGGAUGCGGAAUUCCGGGUGUAGUGGUGGAAUGCGUAGAGAUCCGGAGGAACACCAGCGGCGAAAGCACUCUGCUGGGCCGACACUGACACUGAGAGACGAAAGCUAGGGGAGCGAAUGGG